UUGAUUAGUUGAUGGCAUCUUAAGAUGAUACUUAAGAUGAUCUUAAAUAUAAGAAUCGACUAUGAAUACCGGCCUAUGUAUACAAAUAUUUUAAUUGCAAUAUUCAUGAAAAGUCAUUCAAUAUUCACGAGAUAAAAGUCCAAAGAAACGAUUAUAUUUGUCCAAAUUUUAAUUUCAAUUUUUUGCCAAAAAAAUAAAUAUGCAAAGAAAAUAAAUAUAAAAAAACAUACAAAAAUCAGCAAACGACUAGCAGUCAAAUACCGUUUUCCAAAUUAUUGAAAUUGUUAGUACAACAGCUUCCUUCAUGUAAAUAUACACUAAGUUGCGUUCUAAAAUUCAUUCAAAAUUUAAAAUAUGUAUGAAAUCUAGAUUUUCAGUGACAGUGAAUUUUGGAAGCCCUAAACAGAAGUCGUUGGUGUUCGCUUAUAUGUUCUGUGGUUUGCCUGCAGUUGUCGGGAACGGACGUCUUCGUACAUAUACUCGUACGUUCAUAUAUUAACCUUUAGAUUGCAGAGUAUAACUUUUGAAGAAAAAACAUAAAAACAGAAAUAUUGUUUCCUAAGUGCUUAGAUUUCUAGAUUAAGUACACUUUUUAUAUUUGCAAUAUAAAAAUGGAAAUAAUAUUUGGAAAAAGAAGAGGCAGCUAUUUGUAUGUAUAUGAAGGAUAUACAUACAAUAUUGAUAAAAGAUGUAAUAAUAUAUACCGUUGCGCAAAAAGACGUACUGUGCUGUGUAGUGGAUCAUUAAUAAAAGUAGAACAAAAAUAUUUUAUUAAAAAUGAACAUAAUCAUCCAAGGGAGCCUUACAUAGCUGAUAUUUUAAAAUUAAAACAAGAAAUGAUUCAAAUGUGUAAAGAAAUCACUACAACAAACAAAGAAAUAUUUGAUACCGUUUCUCGAAAAAAUCCAAAAGCUGCAGCUUUCAUUUCAUAUAAAGCUAUGAGAAAUCAAUUAUCAAAAGAAAAAAUCAAAAUGCGUCCUUCGUUACCUACAAACGUGUAUGAGCUUGACAGUUUGCUUCGAGGUUAUGAACCUACAACAAAUAUUUAUAAAGGCUGUGUUAUAUCUGAAGAUAACAAAUGUUCCUACAUGUUUACUACUGAUAAGCUUCUAAAAAUAUUAGAGAAAUGUUCUGAAAUUUUUAUUGAUGGUACAUUUUCUAUUGUACCUAGAGUACCAAGCUUUGCACAACUAUUUUCAAUACAUAUGCGAUACAUGGAUAAGGGUAUUGCAGUAGUAUUUAUUUUGUGUGAAGCCAGAACACAAUUAGUUUAUAAAUCCAUAUGGAAAGAAAUUAUAAAAUUGGCGCCUAAUCUACAAUGUAAUUUGCGUUUCAUAAUGAUGGAUUAUGAAAAAGCAUCGAUGAACGCUGUCCAUGAACAGUUUCCUCAUGCAUCUCUACGAGGCUGUUGGUUUCAUUACUGUCAAGCUGUUCUUAAAAAGUGGAAACGAUUAGGACUUUUGAAAGCACCAUAUAAAAUAGUAUCCAUGGCAAUGACAUUAGCAUUAACACCAUCAGAAAUGUUUGCAGAAGGUUUAAAUCUCAUGCAGACAAUUGCUGAUGAAGAAUCUGAAAAUUAUCCUAACGUAUUGGUCUUUUUGAGAUAUAUGAGAAACACAUGGCUUCCAAUAUAAAAAAAAAUAAGUGUAUAUGGAUGCCCAAUUAGGACUAACAAUCUUGUGGAAUCAUUUCAUAGUAUUAUGUUGAAAAAAAUGCAUACGAUUCAUCCAAAUUUUUGGACAUUCUUAGAUAAUAUUUCCAAAUUAAUUAUGGAUCAGGAAAUUAAUUAUAACCGUUUAAUAAAUGGCCUACAAUUAUCAAGGGAUCGUAAUCCGUUUAACGAGUCUAAAAAUAAAAAAAUUGAAAAAGCACAAUAUUAUUUAUCCAGUGG